rnacentral:lncRNA from 1 species
UUGCCCAAAUCCGCCCGAAUUCACCCCAAUUCCUUUGCCGGGGGCGCCCCCUGCUGGACAGACGGGGCAUCGCCCCCCCUCUUUGGAUACUGGGAGGGACUGGGAGGGGACUGGGAGGGGACUGGGAGGGACUGGGAGGGACUGGGAGGGCACCCAAAUUUUUCCCAUUUUUCCCCAAAAUUUUCCCCAAAUUUUCCCCCAAAUUUUUCUCAAUUUCCCCCAAAUUUUUCUCCUCUUUUUUUUCCCAAAUUUUUCUCUUUUUUCCCCAAAAUUUUUUUCCAUUUUCCCCCAAAAUCUCCCCAAAUUCCCUCAAAAUUUUCCUCAUUUUCCACCCAAAUUCCCACUAAAAUUUCUCAAAUUUUUUCUCAAUUUUUCCCCCGAAUUUUUCUUAUUUUCCCCCCAAAUUUUUCCCAUUUUUCCCCAAAUUUUCCUCAUUUUUCCCCAAAAUUUCCCCCAAAUUUUUCCUUAAUUUUUCCUCAUUUUCCCCCCCAAUUUUUCUCAUUUUUCCCCCAAUUUUUUCUCAUUUUCCCCAAAAUUUUCCCCAAAUUUUUUCCAUUUUCCCCCCUGUUUUUCCCUUUUUCCCCCCCACAUUUUUCUCGUUUUUUCUCCAAAUUUUUUUUUCAUUUUCCCCUCAAAUUUUCCCCCAAAUUUCUCUCAUUUUUCCCCAAAUUUUCCCCCAUUUUUUUCCAUUUUCCCCCCAAUUUUUCCCAUUUUUCCCCAAAUUUCUCUCAUUUUUCCCCAAACUUUUCCCCAAAUUUUUCCCAUUUUUCCCCAAAUUUUUCCCCAGAUUUUCCCUCAAAUUUUUCUCAUUUUCCCCCAAAAUUUUUCUCAUUUUCCCCAAAAUUUUUCCCCAAAUUUUUCCCCAAAUUUUUCCCAUUUUCCCCCCAAAUUUUCCCCCAAAAUUUUUCUCAUUUUCCCCCAAAUUUUUCUCAUUUUCCCCAAAUUUUUCCCCAAAUUUCUCUCAUUUUUCCCCAAACUUUUCCCCCAAUUUUUCUCAUUUUCCCCCAAAUAUUUCCCCAAUUUUUCCCCCAAUUUUUUCCCCAAAUUUCCCCCCAAUUUUUUCCCAAUUUUCCCCAAUUUCCCCCAAAUCCCCCAAAUUUCCCCUCCCCCCAAACACCACUCACACACUGGGUGGGGGAGGGGCCGCAGCCCUUUU